UACGUAGGUGGCAAGCGUUGUCCGGAUUUAUUGGGUUUAAAGGGUGCGUAGGCGGCUUUGUAAGUCAGUGGUGAAAUAUGGCAGCUCAACUGUCAAGGUGCCAUUGAUACUGCGGAGCUUGAGUACAGAUGAGGUAGGCGGAAUUGACGGUGUAGCGGUGAAAUGCUUAGAGAUUACAUGGAAUACCAAUUGCGAAGGCAGGUUACUACUAAUGGAUUGACGCUGAUGGACGAAAGCGUGGGUAGCGAACAGG
rnacentral:rRNA from 1 species